UCGGGAAUAUUGCGCAAUGGAGGAAACUCUGACGCAGUGACGCCGCGUGCAGGAAGAAGGUUUUCGGAUUGUAAACUGCUUUAGACAGGGAAGAAACAAGACAGUACCUGUAGAAUAAGCUCCGGCUAACUACGUGCCAGCAGCCGCGGUAAUACGUAGGGAGCAAGCGUUAUCCGGAUUUAUUGGGUGUAAAGGGUGCGUAGACGGGAAAUCAAGUUGGUUGUGAAAUCCCUCGGCUUAACUGAGGAACUGCAACCAAAACUAAUUUUCUUGAGUGCUGGAGAGGAAAGUGGAAUUCCUAGUGUAGCGGUGAAAUGCGUAGAUAUUAGGAGGAACACCAGUGGCGAAGGCGACUUUCUGGACAGUAACUGACGUUGAGGCACGAAAGUGUGGGGAGCAAACA
rnacentral:rRNA from 1 species